rnacentral:rRNA from 1 species
UACAGAGGUCUCAAGCGUUGUUCGGAUUCAUUGGGCGUAAAGGGUGCGUAGGCGGCGUGGUAAGUCGGGUGUGAAAUCUCGGAGCUUAACUCCGAAACUGCAUUCGAUACUGCCGUGCUUGAGGACUGGAGAGGAGACUGGAAUUUACGGUGUAGCGGUGAAAUGCGCAGAUAAUCGGGAGGAACACCAAUGGCGAAGGCAGCUCGCUGGGACGGUACUGACGCUGAGGCGCGAAAGCGUGGGGAGCAAACAGG